GACGAACGCUGGCGGCGUGCUUAACACAUGCAAGUCGAACGGACAGGCCCUGCUUUUGUGGGGUGCUCGAGUGGCGAACGGGUGAGUAACACGUGAGUAACCUGCCCUUGACUUAGGGAUAACUUCAGGAAACUGGGGCUAAUACCGGAUAGGAGCUCCUGCUGCAUGGUGGGGGUUGGAAAGUUUCGGCGGUUGGGGAUGGACUCGCGGCUUAUCAGCUUGUUGGUGGGGUAGUGGCUUACCAAGGCUUUGACGGGUAGCCGGCCUGAGAGGGUGACCGGCCACAUUGGGACUGAGAUACGGCCCAGACUCCUACGGGAGGCAGCAGUGGGGAAUAUUGCACAAUGGGCGGAAGCCUGAUGCAGCAACGCCGCGUGCGGGAUGACGGCCUUCGGGUUGUAAACCGCUUUCGCCUGUGACGAAGCGUGAGUGACGGUAAUGGGUAAAGAAGCACCGGCUAACUACGUG
rnacentral:rRNA from 1 species